rnacentral:rRNA from 1 species
UUUUUGGAGAGUUUGAUCUUGGCUCAGGACGAACGCUGGCGGCGUGCCUAAUACAUGCAAGUCGAGCGCAGGAAGCAAGUUGAUCCCCUUCGGGGGUGACGCUUGUGGAAUGAGC